rnacentral:rRNA from 1 species
CGUGUAGGCGGAUGGGGACGUCGGUUGCUGAAAUCCCCCGGCUCAACCGGGGAACUGGCACCGAAACGCCCCGUCUCGAGGGACGUAGGGGGACCUGGAACUUCCGGUGGAGCGGUGAAAUACGUUGAGAUCGGAAGGAACGCCCGUGGCGAAAGCGAGGUCCUGGACGUCUUCUGACGCUGAGACGCGAAAGCUAGGGGAGCGAAC